rnacentral:rRNA from 1 species
AAUGAACGCUGGCGGCAGGCCUAAUACAUGCAAGUCGAGCGGACGAAGGGAGCUUGCUCCUGGAUUCAGCGGCGGACGGGUGAGUAAUGCCUAGGAAUCUGCCCGGCCUAGGGGGCUAACGUCCGGAAAGGGGACCUAAUCCCACACCGGUCCAGAGGUUGAACCGGGGGGUUCUAUGGUCAUAGACCUUUCUGAUGUCCCUUGGAGGGGUAUCCGGGUCGGAUUAGCUAGGUGGUAGGGUAACGGCCUACCAAGGCAACGAUGCGUAGCUGAUCUGAGAGGGUGAUCAGUCACACUGGAACUGAGACACGGUCCAGACUCCUACGGGAGGCAGCAGUGGGGAAUAUUGGACAAUGGGCGAAAGCCUGAUCCAGCCAUGCCGCGUGUGUGAAGAAGGUCUUCGGAUUGUAAAGCACUGUAAGUUGGGAGGAAGGGCAGUAAGUUAAUACCUUGCUGUUUUGACGUUACCAACAGAAUAAGCACCGGCUAACUUCGUG